CGGGCGUACGCGUCGUCCAAGCCCAAGAAUAGAAUGAGGCGUCGCAGCAGGGGUUGUUUGUGGUCCACGUGAGCGAGGCGAGGGGCGGCCCGAGACAGUCGAUAGUGGCGUUGUCGUCAUUGUCCGCGAGGUAGAGGGUGGCGGCGCCGGUUGCAGGGAGGACGGGGGCACCGGCGGCUGGUGAACUCGGAGGCUGCGGCUGCGCGACAACGUCCGUGGUGGUGGUGACAACUACGGCGAUGCGACCAUGAUGCGGCAGGGUAUGGAGGCUUCCUCGCCUGGGCUCGGGCGCGUCAGCACGGCGUCGGGCCAUUGCCGGUGGCGUCGAGGCCGGCUCACGCACGGAUAGGGCGCCCAAGGGUGAGCCGCCGCGGCGUGUGGGCGGGCUGAGCCAGGCGUUCCACCAUGAUGCGGCGGGGAUGAAAGCCGCCUCGCCGGGGCUUGUGGGGCAGCACGGCGUCGGGCCGUUGAGCAGAUCUUCUCCAUCCUCGAGUCCAACUUCCUGUUUGGCGCACAGGCGCUGGAGCCGGCAGGGGCAUGCUCUGCGGGGCGCGCUCGCCGCGGCCGUGCUGGUAAGGCUCGAGCGCUGACUGCGGGAGCUGUCCGGGAACCCCGAGGCCCGCGUAGUGGACUAUUUCAAGCAGGGUCCGGCGCCGGAUGGUUCCUGGCGGCUGCGUUGUUCGCACGCCGGAUGCCGGCGGAGGCGGCGUGCGACGUCGUGGCCAAGAACCGCAAGGUGUUCUCCGGGCGCCACGGCCGCGGUGGGUUCUUCUCCGAGGCCGAUGCAGGUUUUGGAAUUGCUUGAAGUUGUACAGUUCAGAUGUCCAUACACUUCAAUGAAAUACCCUCAGCUGCUUUCCAAUCUGAGAGUUGAAUCAAAGAUUGAAGAGAUCCUACGGAAUUCUGCAACAUAUGAAUUUGGUAGUGUAUAUUAUUUUUCGGAGAGAGGUGAUCGACUGAUUGAUCUUGAUGUGUUCCAUCAAAAGCUUAUCUAGGUUGCUUGUUCAGUCUUGUUCAUAUUGGGUUUGAGAUUAUUAUGUUCUUCAAGUUGCUUCUCUUGAUGUUCAGAUGUCUCAAGAACUGCGCACACAAUUGAGCGAGUCUGAGAAAGGAGAGCUAAAAGGAUCGUUCCAUCAUAUGCUGAAAUGGGCCUGGAGAUAUAAUAAAUAUCUUGAAGAACAGGCAGCCCAGCUUCACAUGUUAACUAGCUGGUCGAAAAUUGUUGAAGUGAGUUGUGUGUGUGCAUGACCACUUAAUCUUUUCUGUUGGGAAUUUCAUAUUGUAACCCGCUUAUUGUUAAUUUCAGGUAGUUGUAUCAAGAAGUAAUAAUUUUAAGACAUUGAAGUUCAGAACCUCUAUUGAAACUCUUUCGUAGUAUUAUAUGAACUUCUGUAUUUGAACUCUUUCAUAGACGUUUAUACUGAGGUUUCUCUUCUAUAGACAUUUAUAGAGGUUGCUCUUUUAUAGACAUUUCGAAGCAAGCCGCUAAGCCCAAGUCUCGAAUCAGGAUUGUCGUUGUUCGUCAGUUCCAAGUAUUUGAAUUCUUCCGUAUCUCUGCUCUUGAUUACAUAUGGUGCGAGAUUCUAAUUUCUUGGACUAUAGUGCAGCUAGGACAUUGUGGCGGCAACGGUGGGAUUUGGGUCGGCGAGCUGCAGGGAUUUGCUGGACGCGCGCCAUCACAUGUCGAGCCACACAUAGUGACCGAUGGUGGCGGAUUAGAGUUGGAAUCCAAGAGGUUUGUGUGGUUUCAGUUAUCCGGUGAUUGGGCAAGAGCGGAGCAACAGAGGCCGGCCAAGAACAAUGACCAGGGAUAACACAUCUUGCUCGAUUUCUCGAGCGACCCAAGGUUGGUUGCAUCCUGCAUGACCUCAUAUUGUUUAUGAGAGUUUUGUGAUGUUCUUUCUUUAGAGAAGUUUUGUGAUCUUAAUUCAUGAGACAUUUGACGUGAUACUAUGUGGCUGUAAACAUAAUCUGCAAUUCAGAGCAAACAGAGUGAACAAACCAAGGACAUGCAGGUUAGUCCGUUAGUGUCUUACUUUUCUUUUUGUAAUUCUAUCGUACUGUAUAGUUAGUACAAAAUCAUCAAAUAUUCAGGAUAUGUUUACAAUUUUGUGAAACUGAAAUGUGCAACAUGUUCAGUGGACUGGUAAAUUAUAAUUUUGUGAAACUGAAAUGUGUUACUGAAACCUGAUUGGUGAUGAACUAACCGAUUCACACAAGGGCUUGCUGAUAACAACUUGAGUUGGCCGAGUCUCGCCGAGUUGAGCGUGGAGUAGAAGGUGUCGAGUGAACUUGAGUCAGUGUCAUUCGCUGUAAUGAUCGCCCGGGCGGCCUUGUAGCUGUCUCAAAUGGAGUUCAGGGGAAAGACCAAGAGGAGGUGCGAUAAGAUUGAGCUUUCCAGAAUUUUGGGGAGGUGGCGCUUGUCGCAUUGCAAAACUUUUAUUUGUAUAUGUUGCAUGCUACUACCUCUAAUCAAUAUGUCAUUGAAAUGAAGUAGAUGCAGCUCUUCAUAGAUAUUGUCACAUGUUCUGGUUUGCAGGUUAACUAUUUGAUGCCCUCGUUUUGGUAAUGAGAGCAAUGCAAUAUUCUGAAGGUCACACAUGUGAGGGAAACUGGCACGUGUCUAUCUCUUAAGCUAGAAACUGCAAUUUGUGUUCUGAGCUAUGAGCUCCAAAUAAAUUAGUUUUCUCUGUUCUUCAAGUUGUUAUCUUAUUUUAGGAUUGGCAUCACUAAUAAUGCGGAGGGGUUUUUCCGUUCAAUAAAAUAUUAAAUUCCAAAUUCGUUACCAGUUUCUAUAAGUAUUGUACUGUUUUGUUAGAUUGUUGUUUGCCAUUUAUAUUAAUUUCCAUUCUUA